AUAGUUUUUUAUUUCUUUCCAAAGAUAGCAGAAGAAAGUGCCAAAAAGUUCUUGUCAGAAAUUGAAGAAAAAAUGAAAGACUUCAUGGCAGACGAAACUCGUGAUGUUCUUGUCAUCCCAGGCUCUACUCUAACAGGCUUCUUCAGAAAGAUUCUAUACAAUAAUAUUGCAUCUAAGUACCAGAAUAUUCUCAUCCGUAAUGUAACAACUGAGGGUGAGAGAAAUGUUGAAAUCAGAAAAUUUGAAACUCAACAAAAUCGAAGAACCUUCCUGGAAAAAGAAAGAGAGAAACAACUAAAUGAUCAGGUUGGCUUCACUCAUGUUGUCCCGAAAGACAUAUUGAAAGUGGAAAGACACUUGUUGGACACAAUCUCGUCUUGGACUUGCUGCAUUUGAUCAAUAAAACAGUUCAUCCUUUACCAGAACAUUUUGAUAACUUCAAGACAUUAGUCAAAAAUAAUAUUCCAACUGUGUAUGAUACGAAGCUCUUAGCAAAGGAUCCACCAUUUUGUGUAGAUAUUCCCUUCACAGCCUUAGGAUCUCUGUAUAAGGACCUGCGUGAGAAAUAUGAACCUCCGACUUUUGCUCCAGAGGAAGGGUAUGCAAGUCACAGUUGUGAAGAAGAUGGCAUGGCACACAAUGCUGGUUAUGAUGCAUUCAUGACCGGAGUCUGUUUUGUGACAAUGGUAAAGAAGCUAGAUGGUAUGAACUGGGCAAGUAAGUCUGUUGUGAAAUCAAAACAUCUGGCACUAUAUGCAAACAGGUGAGGAUCAGUCUAUUUUUUUAGAAAUAAUAUAUAUUUU